rnacentral:rRNA from 1 species
ACGCUCGACACCUACGGGGNGGCAGCAGUGGGGAAUAUUGCACAAUGGGGGAAACCCUGAUGCAGCAACGCCGCGUGAGUGAAGAAGUAUUUCGGUAUGUAAAGCUCUAUCAGCAGGGAAGAUAAUGACGGUACCUGACUAAGAAGCUCCGGCUAAAGUACGUGCCAGCAGCUGCGGUAAUCUGAGCGGGCUGGCAAGGC